UGCCAGCCGCCGCGGUAAUACGGAGGGUUCAAGCGUUAUCCGGAUUUAUUGGGUUUAAAGAGUGCGUAGGUGGUUUAUUAAGUCAGUGGUGAAAUCCUACAGCUCAACUGUAGAACUGCCAUUGAAACUGGUAAACUUGAGUUUGGCUGAGGUAAGCGGAAUUUAUGAUGUAGCGGUGAAAUGCAUAGAUAUCAUAAGGAACACCAAUAGCGUAGGCAGCUUACUAGACCAAUACUGACACUGAGGCACGAAAGCGUGGGUAGCGAACAGGAUUAGAUA
rnacentral:rRNA from 1 species